GGUCGCGCGAGCUCUCUCGACCGACACCCCCACCACCGCCAGCGCAGGAGGGGGCUGGAGGGCUGGAAGCGUCCCGGGCCCGAGGCCGGUUUUGUGGCCUCACCUCGGGACGGGUACCCAGGUAGCUGGAGAGCCAAGAAGUCUGUCCCUCCCGCUUCCAGUGGACGACCCUCAGACCCUGUCAGAAAAGUUGUCUCGGUUGCCUGGCCUCAGGUGUCUCCCCAGGUUUGCCUUAGUUACCUGGCGCCCCAGCCUUGACCGGAAAGAGCGCGGAAGGGAGAGACAAGAAACUGAGUCCUAAUGAAACUGGCCCAAUACCCCGCCGGUAGUAAAUGGCAGAGUCGAGAUUUCAACCCAUACCACCAACUAACUACAGGACUGUAUUCUCCUGUGGGCUUGAAUACCCUCCAUGAGAAGUCAGCUAUUGAAGGUGGAAUUGAUUUUUGGAAACAGCCUAACGCACCAGAACCAGUUCAGCAGCAAAGAGGCGGAUGGAGGCCUCAGCAAAGCAGCCAACAGAGGACCACAGGGAGUAAAGCUGCCGUAUCUGAGCCACAUGCUGCCGCACAGCCUCCUGCAAAUGUAAUAUGCUGCUGCGCUGUUCCUCAGGAUUGCUAGAGAUCUCAAGCUGGAACCUCACCCGCUGCUUCUUCUCACUGUGCUCCUGAAUGAAUGGAAAAGGAAAUGAACAAGAUUUUUUAAUAGACAAGUCCUGCAGUAAAGUGAAACAGAGAAAGUAACAAGGAAUAUGGAUCUCUUCUGGAAAGCUUACCUGUAUUUGUCACCAUUAGUAGCAAGUCUAAGAGGCAGGCCCAUGCAGAAGUAGUAAAGAUUUCACAGUAAGCCAGUCCCACAGGGUAGGGAUGGAGGUGAUAGUGGGGACUACUUACUGUUUUUAGAGGUAUCAAAGUGACUGAGAACUGACUAAGAAAAACAACGAAGUAAACAAGCGCUACAGUCUCUGGAACACUCAGACCUUUCCUAGGUAAGUGAAAUUUCAACAGCUGCUAUUGACUAACAGAGGAUAUAACCAACCACAAGGUCCUUUUUCAGUUUGAAGCAUGGCUUUUCUCACUGAAUAAAGCACAAGGUCUGUGGGUUCCUGUGAGGCUAACUGGCAUUCUAUAAGGGCCCAUGCUCACCUUCCGCUUAGGUUCUACAUGGAGCAGCAGGUUGUUGACAAUGUCCAGGAUCAUGGCAUACUGAGCCGGGUUGGUGGAGAUUUCCAGCUCAUGAUGAAUAAGGGUAAAGGUAUCCACAGCCCCUACGUAAUUGUUAGCAGGCAAGUAAGAAACUCAAGGUUCUCUCUAAAUAUCUACCCCAUCUUCUAACCUGUAUUUGGAACCAUUCCUGUUAGUUAACCCCAUAAAACGGAUUAGUGAGAGAUGCUCACGGGAGAAAUAUGUUUGCUUAUUUUAGAAUCAAAUAAUACCCAUUCAUCCCAGUUCCCUCCAAAAAUACAGUUUAUUCUCUUAUAGCAGAACUUACAUUAUGCAGAGCAAAGUGAAACCAUUAAUGCCAGUACACAGUGGGACUUCUAAUAACACUACUGACUUAAAAGCACUAAGAAAGUAACUACUUUCACAAGUUCCCUAGUCCCCUUCUAAAAGCCUUUCAAGCCCUGAAUACCUUCCUGUUUCUUUAGGAGAUCUUCCUUUUCCUGGUUCUCAUGGACCUCAGGUGGUUUAAUCUGAGUUGCCAGCUCAGGAUCAAUGUCAUGGCUGUAACUAAUAUAGUACAUUCGGCAGCUACAGCGUGAAAUGAUCCGCUGGACUUGCUGGGCUUGUUGCGCCUCAGCUGGCUGGUUCCAAUCUGGAAAGAGAUGGGAAAGAGAUAAGAGACAUUCUCAAUAGAGGUACUGUAAGAGCCUUCUGGCUAUGUGUGAUGUCUAGGGAACUCCAGACACUUGUUUUCAACCUAGCCUAACACAAAAUGGUCCUACUCCAGCAUAUGUUAAUCUUAGAGUAUGUAAGAAAAUGCACAUCUGCUCCUAACCACAUGAUGUAGAAUAAGGGAAAGCUGACCUGUGGUGGUGGUAACCAUGCCUCCCACUGCCUGCCCGCUCUCCAUCAGCUCCUGCACAGAAUCCAGACUACGCUGCCGGUGCUCCUCGAUAUUCUUUACCUGAAGACAGAGAUACAGGUACCUUUAACUCCUAGCCAACUGGGUCACAGAUCUCUAUGAUGCAAGUAGUUAUACUUACUAUCCAAACUUCCACUGCCUGGAAUAGCUUGAGGGAUCUCCCAGGGUAGAAGACAUAUAUGACUCUCUCCUGGCCCAAACCACCCAAAUUCUCCAAAGCCAAAUGAGUUAUAUGCACAUUUGCCAGACCUGCAGGCCUGAGGCCAGAAAAGCAAGCUAGGUUAAAAUUAAAUCCUGUCCUACCUCACACCCAUUAGGAUGGCUAUCAAAAAAAAAGAGAAAGUACCAGGUGUUGACAAGGAUGUGCUGAAAUUGGAUCCCUUGUGCACUGCUGGGGGUAUGUCAAAUGGUAUAAUGGUACUGUGGCAAAUAUGUCAAGCACAAUUCCUCAAAAAAUUAAAAAUAGAAUUACUAUAUGA